rnacentral:rRNA from 1 species
GGGGCUAAACCAUGCACCGAAGCUGCGGCAGCGAACGUAUCACCCAAGACAACUUUACGGAGUUGACGAUUGACGGAGCGAAGCGACGUCAAAGCGUUCAUUAAAGUCGAGUUGGCUUAGGGAUACGUUCGUUGGGUAGGGGAGCGUUCUGUAAGCCUGUGAAGGUGUGUCGUGAGGCAUGCUGGAGGUAUCAGAAGUGCGAAUGCUGACAUAAGUAACGAUAAAGCGGGUGAAAAGCCCGCUCGCCGGAAGACCAAGGGUUCCUGUCCAACGUUAAUCGGGGCAGGGUGAGUCGACCCCUAAGGCGAGGCCGAAAGGCGUAGUCGAUGGGAAACGGGUUAAUAUUCCCGUACUUGGUGUUACUGCGAAGGGGGGACGGAGAAGGCUAUGUUGGCCGGGCGACGGUUGUCCCGGUUUAAGCGUGUAGGUGUGUGUUCCAGGUAAAUCCGGUUCACUUUAACACUGAGGCGUGACGACGAGGCACUACGGUGCUGAAGCAACAAAUGCCCUGCUUCCAGGAAAAGCCUCUAAGCAUCAGGUAACACGAAAUCGUACCCCAAACCGACACAGGUGGUCAGGUAGAGAAUACCAAGGCGCUUGAGAGAACUCGGGUGAAGGAACUAGGCAAAAUGGUGCCGUAACUUCGGGAGAAGGCACGCUGACACGUAGGUGAAGUGAUUUACUCAUGGAGCUGAAGUCAGUCGAAGAUACCAGCUGGCUGCAACUGUUUAUUAAAAACACAGCACUGUGCAAACACGAAAGUGGACGUAUACGGUGUGACGCCUGCCCGGUGCCGGAAGGUUAAUUGAUGGGGUCAGCGCAAGCGAAGCUCCUGAUCGAAGCCCCGGUAAACGGCGGCCGUAACUAUAACGGUCCUAAGGUAGCGAAAUUCCUUGUCGGGUAAGUUCCGACCUGCACGAAUGGCGUAAUGAUGGCCAGGCUGUCUCCACCCGAGACUCAGUGAAAUUGAACUCGCUGUGAAGAUGCAGUGUACCCGCGGCAAGACGGAAAGACCCCGUGAACCUUUACUAUAGCUUGACACUGAACAUUGAGCCUUGAUGUGUAGGAUAGGUGGGAGGCUUUGAAGUGUGGACGCCAGUCUGCAUGGAGCCGACCUUGAAAUACCACCCUUUAAUGUUUGAUGUUCUAACGUGGACCCGUAAUCCGGGUUGCGGACAGUGUCUGGUGGGUAGUUUGACUGGGGCGGUCUCCUCCUAAAGAGUAACGGAGGAGCACGAAGGUUGGCUAAUCCUGGUCGGACAUCAGGAGGUUAGUGCAAUGGCAUAAGCCAGCUUGACUGCGAGCGUGACGGCGCGAGCAGGUGCGAAAGCAGGUCAUAGUGAUCCGGUGGUUCUGAAUGGAAGGGCCAUCGCUCAACGGAUAAAAGGUACUCCGGGGAUAACAGGCUGAUACCGCCCAAGAGUUCAUAUCGACGGCGGUGUUUGGCACCUCGAUGUCGGCUCAUCACAUCCUGGGGCUGAAGUAGGUCCCAAGGGUAUGGCUGUUCGCCAUUUAAAGUGGUACGCGAGCUGGGUUUAGAACGUCGUGAGACAGUUCGGUCCCUAUCUGCCGUGGGCGCUGGAGAACUGAGGGGGGCUGCUCCUAGUACGAGAGGACCGGAGUGGACGCAUCACUGGUGUUCGGGUUGUCAUGCCAAUGGCACUGCCCGGUAGCUAAAUGCGGAAGAGAUAAGUGCUGAAAGCAUCUAAGCACGAAACUUGCCCCGA